CUUAACACAUGCAAGUCGAACGAUGAUCCCCAGCUUGCUGGGGGGAUUAGUGGCGACCGGGUGAGUAACACGUGAGUACCCUGCCCUUAACUCUGGGAUAAGCCUGGGAAACUGGGUCUAAUACCGGAUAUGACUCCUCAUCGCAUGGUGGGGGGUGGAAAGCUUUUUGUGGUUUUGGAUGGACUCGCGGCCUAUCAGCUUGUUGGUGAGGCAAUGGCUUACCAAGGCGACGACGGGUAGCCGGCCUGAGAGGGUGACCGGCCACACUGGGACUGAGACACGGCCCAGACUCCUACGGGAGGCAGCAGUGGGGAAUAUUGCACAAUGGGCGCAAGCCUGAUGCAGCGACGCCGCGUGAGGGAUGACGGCCUUCGGGUUGUAAACCUCUUUCAGUAGGGAAGAAGCGAAAGUGACGGUACCUGCAGAUGAAGCGCCGGA
rnacentral:rRNA from 1 species